GUGCCCUUGCUCGGAAUCCUGGGCCGACAGUUGAUAAAAGAAAAUUCCAUUGUGGUCUAGUUUUCUCCCUUUAAUACCUUUACAAGCGCUGAAGAAAAAAAAUUAAAGAACAAAGAAUCAUAGCUCGAAUAAGUCAGUAAAGGGAACUACUAAGUAAUUAACAAAGGAAUUGCGCCUAGAACAUAUUACAGGCGCGUGUACUGCUCUUGGUCACAUUUAUCAAUUUAUGCAAUCUCUCCUAACAAACUUCCUAAGAUAGAAGGGAACAGAAGGAAUAUGUAUCAAAGAAUCAUUCUAUCUUCAAUUACGCGAAGAGCCUAUAUAUGGGUUCACUAAUCAUCUCCGUGUGUGAGGUGUCUACAAAACACUGGAAGCCGAUCAACGGACCCAAGCUGUCCGUCCGAGCGUAGCUAGUGGCCGGCGCCCCUUCGGCUGGGCCAGGCCGGCAGCCUCGCGGUGAGCAUCUCCACCGUCUCCCUCGCCCUCUCCGCCGCGGGGUACGCGAGCAAGUACGCUCCGCCGUCUCCGCCCCUCUCCGCCGGCGUCGGUCGCGCCGCGCCGACAAGGCCCGCUCCGGCGACCAGACCGACGAGCACGAGCACGGCGAGAAGAAGAACCAGGCGCCGUCCCGCAGAUGCCAUCACAGAACUGAAAGGUGGCGUUGGUGUAGCCCUGCAGCUGAAUUCGGGACAGAACGUACCCGAGGCGCGCGAGUUUGCACUCCUGGCUAUGUUCGUAGUUUGGUUUUUGCUGGCCUGAUCGUGUUUGCGACGGG
rnacentral:lncRNA from 1 species